rnacentral:piRNA from 1 species
AUAGCUGGGCACAUGAGAAGUCUGG